rnacentral:rRNA from 1 species
CCGCGACCCCAUGUCA